ACUUAAAUUGAAGAGUUUGAUCAUGGCUCAGAUUGAACGCUGGCGGCAGGCCUAACACAUGCAAGUCGAACGGUAGCACAGAGAGCUUGCUCUCGGGUGACGAGUGGCGGACGGGUGAGUAAUGUCUGGGAAACUGCCUGAUGGAGGGGGAUAACUACUGGAAACGGUAGCUAAUACCGCAUAACGUCGCAAGACCAAAGAGGGGGACCUUCGGGCCUCUUGCCAUCAGAUGUGCCCAGAUGGGAUUAGCUAGUAGGUGGGGUAAUGGCUCACCUAGGCGACGAUCCCUAGCUGGUCUGAGAGGAUGACCAGCCACACUGGAACUGAGACACGGUCCAGACUCCUACGGGAGGCAGCAGUGGGGAAUAUUGCACAAUGGGCGCAAGCCUGAUGCAGCCAUGCCGCGUGUAUGAAGAAGGCCUUCGGGUUGUAAAGUACUUUCAGCGGGGAGGAAGGUGUUGUGGUUAAUAACCACAGCAAUUGACGUUACCCGCAGAAGAAGCACCGGCUAACUCCGUGCCAGCAGCCGCGGUAAUACGGAGGGUGCAAGCGUUAAUCGGAAUUACUGGGCGUAAAGCGCACGCAGGCGGUCUGUCAAGUCGGAUGUGAAAUCCCCGGGCUCAACCUGGGAACUGCAUUCGAAACUGGCAGGCUAGAGUCUUGUAGAGGGGGGUAGAAUUCCAGGUGUAGCGGUGAAAUGCGUAGAGAUCUGGAGGAAUACCGGUGGCGAAGGCGGCCCCCUGGACAAAGACUGACGCUCAGGUGCGAAAGCGUGGGGAGCAAACAGGAUUAGAUACCCUGGUAGUCCACGCCGUAAACGAUGUCGACUUGGAGGUUGUUCCCUUGAGGAGUGGCUUCCGGAGCUAACGCGUUAAGUCGACCGCCUGGGGAGUACGGCCGCAAGGUUAAAACUCAAAUGAAUUGACGGGGGCCCGCACAAGCGGUGGAGCAUGUGGUUUAAUUCGAUGCAACGCGAAGAACCUUACCUACUCUUGACAUCCAGAGAACUUUCCAGAGAUGGAUUGGUGCCUUCGGGAACUCUGAGACAGGUGCUGCAUGGCUGUCGUCAGCUCGUGUUGUGAAAUGUUGGGUUAAGUCCCGCAACGAGCGCAACCCUUAUCCUUUGUUGCCAGCGGUCCGGCCGGGAACUCAAAGGAGACUGCCAGUGAUAAACUGGAGGAAGGUGGGGAUGACGUCAAGUCAUCAUGGCCCUUACGAGUAGGGCUACACACGUGCUACAAUGGCGCAUACAAAGAGAAGCGACCUCGCGAGAGCAAGCGGACCUCAUAAAGUGCGUCGUAGUCCGGAUUGGAGUCUGCAACUCGACUCCAUGAAGUCGGAAUCGCUAGUAAUCGUAGAUCAGAAUGCUACGGUGAAUACGUUCCCGGGCCUUGUACACACCGCCCGUCACACCAUGGGAGUGGGUUGCAAAAGAAGUAGGUAGCUUAACCUUCGGGAGGGCGCUUACCACUUUGUGAUUCAUGACUGGGGUGAAGUCGUAACAAGGUAACCGUAGGGGAACCUGCGGUUGGAUCACCUCCUUACCUUAAAGAA
rnacentral:rRNA from 1 species